GGCUGGUCCGAAGGUAGUGAGUUAUCUCACUUGAUUGUUCACAGUCAGUUACAGAUUAAACUCCUUGUUCUACUACUUCCCCCAGCCCCCCGCACUACUGCACUUGAUUAGUCUUAA
rnacentral:Y_RNA from 1 species